GACUAUAAUGAAACCUCGGUCAUAGUUCAAACAGCCGGGGGACUCUGGUCAAGUUAGUUUUAAGAUGGGGAGGAAACCGUAACAUCCAAGUUUUGCUAUUAUAAAUUCAAACAUGUUUUUUUUUUAUUUCGUGCACACACAAAUGGUUUAUUGCGUUUCGACCAAACAGGAAAUUGACAUCUUCCUCAUUAUUUGAACCAUACAUCUAAUGUGCGUUCUAACAUGGCAAGCGCACCAUAAGUUUACCUAACUACGCCCCUAACCAGGAGUUGUAAACCAUAGGGACUUUGUCGUCAUUUUUGGUGGAAGGUGUAAAGGAAACAAAAUGUCCAUGACCAUAUUUGUAAGGACGUUAACAGGAAAGACCGAAACCUUAAACGUAAAAAAGGCGGACACAAUGAGGCAUGUUUUAGAGACUAUAUCAGAAAGAUUGGGUAUGGUACUAAGGCAAGUUCGACUUAUGUUUAGUGGCAAAGAAUAUAGACAGGAUAUGCCAGAGACACAUACACGGUUAGAGGAAAUAGGAAUCAAGGAUCGGCAAACUUUACUCAUGGUGUCACGAUUACGCAAAGGACCAUGCUCUUCCCACCCUUCCCACUACAAUUAAAUUGUUGUUUGAAAUUGAUUAUCUUAUGGAUAAGCAUUUUAAAAGUAAUUAGUGUUUAA